CUUCAUAGUAAUAUUAAACUCAGCCAAGGCUGUGGUGGACGACGUGAUCCUUCACCAGUACCAUCACCAGUGAACUGCCCCGAACCAGAGCGUCACCAUAGACAAAAAAAAUUAUGCAAAUAAGUAGUGCCUUGGAAAGCCAGUUCAAAUGAAGUGGCUGUUUCUCCUCCUCCCCCAACAAAAUGAGGUGGUGCAUUUAGAAGAAGAAUAAAAAAAAUACUCUAAUGUGUUCUAAUAUAAGUAAAUCCCUAAAGUGUUUUCAAUAUUUGUGUUAUUAUUUACCCGACGCCAUGAGGCGGAAUUAUUGUCCCUUUGACGGAGAUGUUGGAGAGAGGCGAGUAUACAAAGGAAUAAUCAGCCGCUGACCACGCGGCAUUUCCAUUUCCACGCGACAUAAAGGGCUUCUAUCCGCGGCUUGAUCAUUAACCCGCAUUUUUGCAUAUAGUCUUCAGUCUUUAGGAGCAGGGGACGCGCUAUGUCUUUGCAUUCCAACUCCAUGGCUUCUUGUAUGAAGAAGUCAGUACAGUAUUAUUGGGAGGUGUGGUGGGGGGGGGGGGGGCAAAAGAAAAGAAAAAGCACAACAACUUCAGAUCAAAGCCGCAUUCUAAGUAUAUCAUGUGGAAAACCCCACCGGGAGCAGGGUGUGAAAAAUGAGAAGAAGGUUCAUCACCAAAAGGCAGAGCGGAGGACACGCUGCGAGGAACAGGGAAGAGGACGGUCGGCAGCGGGGGGAAUCCCUCUGCAUGGUAACGCGUCUCUUUCGCAGCCAAAGAAAGAAGAACGAUGUGGAGCUGUCACGGUUUUAUGGCUGGACGUGACCGUGAUGUGGAAACUAAUCUGGCACCUGAACCUUUCCCUGACCCGGCCAGAGGCGCAGAGAGUCCAGUGCGAAGUUACUUUGGGGUUGAAAAACCAGGAGAAGAAAGGAACCAAUUAAGAAGCCUAUACUUUUUCCCAACCCACUUUUUUUCCAGACUUGCCCUUUCCUCAAAAUUAGUGAAUGAUUAAUCGUGUAUUGCAUCUCUCCUGUUUUUCGCAUUAAACAAGUUAUUAUACAAACCAUGGCUCCUUAUCACUGUCAGCACAGAGGAGUCAGAGGCGCACGGCUCUGGACGCUGGCCAGGCGGAGGUCCAUAUCUCCCCACAAUGUUGACACUCGGAGCUCUUAACAGCCGGGCUUGGGUUACCUACACUCAGCCGAAGAUAACUCUUUCUGCGAGGACUACAUCGGCCAGCAUUAAGGCCAAUAUAAAAAUUCAACUCUUUCGGCAGACUUGGGGACAUCUCCCAUGCGAUGCAGACGAAACGGGAGAACGUUUACGUGAAUCUGGGUUGUGAUGAAAUUAUUUUAGCGUUGAACUUAACUUGGUGACGGAGAAUGGGCCUUGAUUAUACAGCAAUACAGUCUCCGUAUUAGCAUUGCUUUAUGCACAUCGUCACAUACACUACAGGGAGUUGGUUUUAAUCUUAGUCUAAAUGACCCAUUUUGUUCACUCUCAUUGAAAGGCUCUUCGCGCAACAGAACACCUUCGCAUUGUUGCUGUACAAAUCUUUAAAUUUCAUAGUGAAAUGAAUAAAUUGUUAUUAUUUUUUAGGAUUGUUAUCAAAGGGAGAAGACCAAAAUAUUAUCUUCCAUCUGUCAUGUCUUUAUGGGGAACUUUGCAUAAAUUUAUUUGACCCCUUUCCAUGUCAAUUUUAAGUGUUUGUAUUACUUCUGCACAAUAAAGUUCCAACUUCAUCCACGA